GGACGUGUGCCCGAGCAUUCAGGGAUUACUUUGAUAGAGUAAAAUACAGGGAAUAAUUACCCCUCACCUCCU
rnacentral:tRNA from 1 species